rnacentral:lncRNA from 1 species
ACAAAUGCAGCGGAAACAGCAAUCCAUUAGAAGAGUCACGUAGAGAAAGAAUUUUACUGUCUUCUAAGGAUUAAAAGUCCAUCAUCAAUAGUUUAUCCCUGUAAUAACAAUCAAUAUACAUCUUUAAUCAUCUUUGCACUACAGGCCAAAGAUAUUUAUUUGUAUCACCAGUUGGUCAUGUUCAUCUCAACACCUGUCCAUCUUUGCACUACAGGCCAAAGAUAUUCAUCAGUUAAUCGUUCAUCUUUGCACUACAGGCCAAAGAUAUCCAUUUAUAUCACCAUUUAGGACUGAGGAUGAUGAAAAACAUUUUUAAAGAAACGAAUCCAGUGAAACAAAAUGACAAAGAUUAAGGAUUAAGGAUUCGUACUUUGUUUUACCCAUGUCCAAAAAUACUUCGAAAAUAAUCAUAUUGGUGUAAAAUUCAAGAAUGAUCAAAACAUGGAUACAAUCAAAGCUAGUAUCCAGAAUAGAUAUUUUGGACAAAAAGAAAAUUUUUUAUUUUUCGGUGAAUAGUGUCGUAUACGUGAAUAAUAUCGUAUACGUGAAUAGUAACCCCAAUACAACAAGUUCCAAAUUUGAUAAAAAAGUUCACCAAUACUUCGGCAUAAUGAUAUUGAAGAAAAAAUAUCAUUUAAGAAGAAAAUAAUACCCCUUACCUCAAAAUAACCGUACUUCUGACUGAAUUUCGG